CCAAACUAAACCCAAUUCUAGCCGAAGCCCUAAUUUGAAGACGGACUCUGCUCGUCUAUGCCACUGCGAGCCAAUCUCAGUCUUUGAUUUCUGUACCUCUUUGGCUCUUUCCCUUCACAGUUGCACAGCCAUUUGCCGAAGCAUUUGAGGACAGGUAAUUUUUUUAGUAUUUUUCUCGCAAUUUUAUUAAGUGUUUACAAAUUACAAUUUUCGUUUUGACAGUUUGCAUGUGUUAAUUUCUUUUCGGAAUUUUGCUUGUUUACGAGUUUUAGAAUUUCACUUUUUUUUGUUUGUUGCAGUGAGUUUGUGGCUUUUUCUGUUAGUACAAUUUGUUCCUUAAACAUAGAGAUUAUAUGUGUUGUUGUUCAUAUCAUGGAUCAAAUUUAAUCAUAUAAAUAAGAAUUAUUUUUAUUCAAAUAGCAGAACGUUUAGAAACUAAUAUCAAGUUUUUCAUAAUUUAUAAUUCUAAUUGAAUAGGAACCUAUAGCCAGUGGCGGAGUCAGUACCCGACGAGGUGCCGAGGUCGCCAGUGUUGAAGUCGUUGAAAUUUACAAGUGCAUUCGUGUGGUUGAAGAUUUCAGAGCUGCUAUGACCUUGAAGACAAGGAACUGCCGAACCAUGGAAGAUGAGCACAACUCAUAAUCGUAGGAUCAGAAAGCCCAACGCCCAAUUCCAAACUCUAUAUUCUACCUCCCCUCCCGAGUCCUGACUCUUGUUGUCUCCUACUCUUGUUUUCUAUGUUCCAAUGCAGUUGAACUAAUAAUAGAAUGGUAUUUUGAUAUGAAAACUAUCGAAAUGAUCAAUGCUAGGAUGAUUAAUGAUUUUAAUCUGUUCUCUAAUAAUUUGGCAAAACAUUAUUUAUUUUUCCAUAAAGGAAAAUGCUACUCAUUUGUGUAAUUUUCGUAAUUUUCAAGUUAAAGUUGAACAUGCAUUGCACGUUAUUCUAAAAUUCUUUAUAAAU
rnacentral:lncRNA from 1 species